rnacentral:rRNA from 1 species
AGUCGGCCCGCGGGAUUCAGCGCGGCGUACGGUCCGGGGGCAGCUUCGGCACGGGAUCUCUCGGGACCCGUCCGGGGCGUCGCGCCGGGCCUCGCCGCGUGCACUUUCCGCGGGCAGAGCGCCACGACCGGCUUCGGCGGCGGCUAGAUGCCGGGGAUGGGAAGGUGAGCGGGAGCCUCGUGCUUCUGCUGUUACAGCCCGCCUCGGCGAGCCGUCCCGGGGCCGAGGGACGACCGCGCGCUUCGAGGCCACCCGGCUCUCCGGGGGAGUUCGACUGGCGGGGACCGGGCAACCCCCGUGCCCGCCGACCGCUCCCCCGCGAUCGGACCGGGUUGGCCGGGCGCUUGCAUCAGGGUCGGUGGCGAGUCUGUCGGCAUUCCACCCGACCCGUCUUGAAACACGGACCAAGGAGUCUAACAUGCGCGCGAGUCAUUGGGCGGUACGAAACCCAAAGGCGCAGUGAAAGCGAGGGCGGCCCC